GUCAUUCUUAUCUCGUAUAUUUCUCAAUAAACAGAAACACAAAUAUAUAUAGAAAUGUCGUACAAAGUCUUUGUUGUUUGUGUGAUUCUUAUACUCAUAAGUUCAACAGUGCUAUCAAAAAAGAUACAGGGAAGUGUAAAUACAAUUUUAAAGAGAGGGAAAGGACACGGCCAGCACAGACAGGACAUCCAGUCUACUACUGAAAUCCAGCCUGGGGCUAAAUGGGGCGAUGAUAUGUUUGGUCACGGAUGUAGAUGUACAUUUCACCUUCAUUGUCACAGUGACACACAGUGUCACCACCAUGGUUCACAUUAUACAUGUCAUUAUAGUUGUUGUGGAACGAGAUGUGUCAGAUCACCUAUCGUGGGACGAGAUGUGUGAAAAGAGGGUGAUGUAUGGCAAGGAUGUUUAAUUCAAUAAAUGUUAUGUGAG